rfam:Hordeum vulgare subsp. vulgare, WGS project CAJW01000000 data, contig: morex_contig_96865
UUUAUACUCCCUCCGUCACAAAAUUCUUGUCUGAGUUUUAUUUAGAAAUGGAUGUAUCUAAAUACUAAUACAUGACCAGAUACAUUCAUAUUUAGACAAAUCAAAGACAAGAAUAUUGAGACGGAUGGAGUACGUG